rnacentral:lncRNA from 1 species
UGUUAAUUUCACAGCCGGAUGAAUAGAAAGGUGCUCCAAAGAAUCUGAGGAUAAAAACGUUUGAGUUACUGUAAUAAGAAGUGGAACAGGAUUUUAUUUUUUUCUCUCUCUGAGUUGUGAUGAGGAAUGCAAGUUCCAGAAUCACCCUGUUACGUGUGAAGCUAUGAUUCAAACCCAGCCUGAUAGGCUGCAAAAUACCUGCUUUUAAUCAGCCCUGUACUAAAUGGAAGAACACAGAGGUUUAAGUCACCUAUGUCAUCAGUAAUGAAUGUAUAAUUUUAAUCUUCUGAUGGUUUAAUAAUCAUAAUAAAAUUAUUUGAAGUAUAAUGAAGACAAAACCAUGCAGUGGGAAACAAGUAAUUGGAAACUAAAUAUAAUGUAAGAUACAUAACAUUUUACUCACAGGAAUCACUAGUGAUGAGAAUUUUACAUCGCUUAUUGUCCUAAUUGGAAAAGCCAUUUUUAGUACCUCUACCUCCUAUGAAAUAAACUAUUGCUUACUCCACCCAACUUCCUAGUGGAGGACCAGCCAAAUACCAUCUAAACCAGGUAUUUCCAGAAAACGCUCCUUCAUAGGGCUAAAGUUUCUAACACUUGCCAUCCCAUUAAUGAUUUCCUUUUCUUCCUGACCAAGGGUGGAAUUAACAAAUGCUAUCUCCAGCUAUGGCCCUAGAGUUAGUCAUAUGAAGAUUAUUAUGAUAUUUCUCAGAAGACACAUUUUAUGUCUUGUAACCAAUGAACCAUUUAAUUCUUAAAAUUUUCUAGUGAGAAGUUUUUAAGUUGAGGCUUG